rnacentral:misc_RNA from 1 species
GCAAACUUGGUCAUUUAGAGGAAGUAAAAGUCGUAACAAGGUUUCCGUAGGUGAACCUGCGGAAGGAUCAUUAGGAAAAAAACAAAAAAAAGGUCGAUCCCCCCCACAAAUGGGGACGACCAAAUCCAUAUCCACCUUGUGUGCACCCAUUGACCGUUCGCUUUGGCAGGAAAAGGAGCCUUCGAUUGUCUGAUCGAAGGGGCCGAGAUCUCUCUCUUUGAGAGAGCGUCGGCCUGCCAGAGUUUUUCUUCUUCUUUCACGCCUUCUUCUGAACCUUUUGUUUUUUGACUGAACCUUCGUCUCGAUUCUCUUGUAAUCGGUCGAACCAAAUACAACUUUCAACAACGGAUCUCUUGGCUCUCGCAUCGAUGAAGAACGCAGC